GAUGAACGCUGGCGGCGUGCCUAAUACAUGCAAGUCGAGCGAACAGACGAGGAGCUUGCUCCUCUGACGUUAGCGGCGGACGGGUGAGUAACACGUGGAUAACCUACCUAUAAGACUGGGAUAACUUCGGGAAACCGGCGCUAAUACCGUAUAAUAUAUUGAACCGCAUGGUUCAAUAGUGAAAGACGGUUUUGCUGUCUCUUAUAGAUGGAUCCGCGCCGCAUUAGCUAGUUGGUAAGGUAACGGCUUACCAAGGCAACGAUGCGUAGCCGACCUGAGAGGGUGAUAGCCGGCCCUGGAGCUGAGCCGCGGUCCAGGCUCCUACGGGAGGCAGCAGUCGGGUACCUUCGGCAGUGGGCGAGAGCCUGACGGAGCAACGCCGCGUGAAUUAUGAAGGUCUUCGGAUCGUAAAACUCUGUUAUGAGGGAAGAACAAAUGUGUAAGUAACUGUGCACGUCGUGACGGUACCUGAUCAGAAAGCCACGGCUAACUACGUG
rnacentral:rRNA from 1 species